UAGGUAGGAGGGCAAACGUUUCA
rnacentral:misc_RNA from 1 species